rnacentral:rRNA from 1 species
UACGAAGGGGGCUAGCGUUGCUCGGAAUGACUGGGCGUAAAGGGCGCGUAGGCGGUUUGGACAGUCGGAUGUGAAAUUCCCGGGCUUAACCUGGGGGCUGCAUCCGAUACGGCCAGACUUGAGUGGGGAAGAGGGUCGUGGAAUUCCCAGUGUAGAGGUGAAAUUCGUAGAUAUUGGGAAGAACACCGGUGGCGAAGGCGGCGACCUGGUCCUUGACUGACGCUGAGGCGCGAAAGCGUGGGGAGCAAACAGG